GAUGACGCUGGCGGCAGGCCUAAUACAUGCAAGUCGAACGAGCGGCGGACGGGUGAGUAACACGUGAGAACCUACCUAUAAGACGGGGAUAACUUCGGGAAACGGUAGCUAAUACCGCAUACCAUCAGAUGUGCCCAGAUGGGAUUAGCUAGUAGGUGGGGUAAAGGCUCACCUAGGCGACGAUCCCUAGCUGGUCUGAGAGGAUGACCAGCCACACUGGAACUGAGACACGGUCCAGACUCCUACGGGAGGCAGAAGUGGGGAAUAUUGCACAAUGGGCGCAAGCCUGAUGCAGCCAUGCCGCGUGUGUGAAGAAGGCCUUCGGGUUGUAAAGCACUUUCAGCGAGGAGGCGUUACUCGCAGAAGAAGCACCGGCUAACUCCGUGCCAGCAGCCGCGGUAAUAC
rnacentral:rRNA from 1 species